rnacentral:tRNA from 1 species
GCCCUAGUGGCACAACAUUUAAGAGUGCUUGGCUGUUAACCGAGAGGUUGGUGGUUCAAACCCACCCUGUGGCU